CCCUUAGAUGUUCUGGGCAGCACGCGCGCUACAAUGGUCUUCGCAAACGGAUGCAUUCUCGAAGGAGAAUGCCAAUCUUGGAAUCUAUGCCUUGGUCGGGACAGUUGCUUGCAAUUUUUCGACUCGAACCAGGAAUUCCUUGUAAUCGUGAUUCAUCACAUCACGAUGAUUACGUCCCUGCCCUUUGUACACACCGCCCGUCGCUACUACCGAUUGGAUGGUUUAGCGAGAACUUUGGACCGGAGCUCGGGUGGUCAGCAAUGGCCGCCCGAGACAUACUGGGAAAUCGCUCCAGCUUGAUCAUCUAGAGGAAGUAAAAGUCGUAACA
rnacentral:rRNA from 1 species